rnacentral:snoRNA from 1 species
AUCCUUCUUAAAAGCACUUGCUUUGUCUGCUCAGUGGCUGGGUGAGUCGUCAAUGAAGGAAAUAGUAAAUCCCAUUGCUUAUGGGUGAGAUGGCAGUCGCCAUGUGCUGUUAAAUCUCAAUCCGUGGUGGAACAAAU